rnacentral:snRNA from 1 species
GACUGUGGGGGCGAUCUGCUGCGACAUCCGCCACCCCAUUGAUCACCAGGGUUGAUUCGGCUGAUCUGGCUGGCGAGGUGGGGGUCCCCUUCCUCCCUCAGUGCUCCAUGUGUGUCCCUCCCCAAGCUGCGCACUCAGUCGAAGAGGACAACCACCCCCGAUAGAGGCGGACCGUUCCUCAGUCAAGGGUAUACAGUAGCUGCCUCCCCUGCUAAAACCUCCAAACAAGCUCUCAUGGCCCAUAUACACGUAUGAUUUUGUGUACACACAUAGGUACUAGAAGACAUAGAGAAUGAAGAGAUUGAAAGAAAUUGCAAAUAUGUAAACAGGUAUGAGAUGUGCUUGGCCAUUUU